rnacentral:rRNA from 1 species
UUUUUGUUUGUGGGGGGCACACACGCGGUAAUUCCAGCUCCAAUAGCGUAUAUUAAAGUUGUUGCAGUUAAAAAGCUCGUAGUUGAACCUUGGGUCUGGCUGGCCGGUCCGCCUCACCGCGAGUACUGGUCCGGCUGGACCUUUCCUUCUGGGGAAUCCCAUGGCCUUCACUGGCUGUGGGGGGAACCAGGACUUUUACUGUGAAAAAAUUAGAGUGUUCAAAGCAGGCCUUUGCUCGAAUACAUUAGCAUGGAAUAAUAGAAUAGGACGUGCGGUUCUAUUUUGUUGGUUUCUAGGACCGCCGUAAUGAUUAAUAGGGAUAGUCGGGGGCGUCAGUAUUCAGCUGUCAGAGGUGAAAUUCUUGGAUUUGCUGAAGACUAACUACUGCGAAAGCAUUCGCCAAGGAUGUUUUCAUUAAUCAGGGAACGAAAGUUAGGGGAUCGAAGACGAUCAGAUACCGUCGUAGUCUUAACCAUAAACUAUGCCGACUAGGGAUCGGGCGGUGUUUCUAUGAUGACCCGCUCGGCACCUUACGAGAAAUCAAAGUUUUUGGGUUCUGGGGGGAGUAUGGUCGCAAGGCUGAAACUUAAAGAAAUUGACGGAAGGGCACCACAAGGCGUGGAGCCUGCGGCUUAAUUUGACUCAACACGGGGAAACUCACCAGGUCCAGACAAAAUAAGGAUUGACAGAUUGAGAGCUCUUUCUUGAUCUUUUGGAUGGUGGUGCAUGGCCGUUCUUAGUUGGUGGAGUGAUUUGUCUGCUUAAUUGCGAUAACGAACGAGACCUCGGCCCUUAAAUAGCCCGGUCCGCAUUUGCGGGCCGCUGGCUCUUAGGGGACUAUCGCUCAGCCGAUGAUGGCCCAACA